AGCGAACGCUGGCGGCGUACUUAACACAUGCAAGUCGAACGGGGAUCGUCGGGUUAGCAAUAAUUCGGCGGUCCUAGUGGCGUACGGGUGAGUAACACGUGGGCAACUUGCCCUUGGGACCGGGAUACCCUCUCGAAAGGGAGGCUAAUACUGGAUACGUUCUUCGGAUCGCAAGAUCUGGAGAGGAAAGGUGGCGCAAGCUACCGCUCUUGGAGAGGCUCGCGGCCUAUCAGCUAGNGGUGAGGUAAUGGCUCACCAAGGCUAUGACGGGUAGCUGGUCUGAGAGGACGACCAGCCACACGGGAACUGAGACACGGUCCCGACUCCUACGGGAGGCAGCAGUGGGGAAUUUUCCGCAAUGGGCGAAAGCCUGACGGAGUGACGCCGCGU
rnacentral:rRNA from 1 species